ACAUAAAUUAAAGAUUGUUUCAUUACACGUGUCGUCGUUACAAAGACAUUUUUACGUUUUUCAAAUUGUUUUGUUUAGGUUUUAAAAUUACAGUAGGCUAGGUACUACAUGUUAAUCACAUGUUAAACAAGGGAAUUAUUAAUUAUUGUUGGUUCAUGAUAGAUAUUUUAAAUUAUUACUCAACCCCGUGAUCUUUUCUUCCAGAUAUCCGUA